UAGCCUUCGGCACCGGGUCGAGUCCAUCUUUCACCCACGGCGGACGAAAUCUCUGAUUGUUGCCGCCGGACAUUCAAAAAGUUGAACUUUACACUAUAUUAUAGGUAGCAAACGCAAUAUUAACACCGAUGGGCGAUGUUGACUACAGCUGGAAAGAAAAUUCGUUAAAAACGCAGAAAAUCAGAACGAAUGGCAGUGGCGAACUGGACGGCGUAAAAAUAGAAUUUAUUAUUAUGGUGUGGGAAGAUAUUUCACACUGUUUGGCGACAUUCCAUAUCAAACACUUUGUAGUAUAUUUGAAACAAUGUCUUGCUGACGGCUGGCCCAACAGUUUUGAUUGGUAUACCAUAGGAUAUAUUUGCCAAUAAUAAUGGAUUAUCUGAUCUUCUAAAUGCAUUAACAAGUAAUUUUGGACUAGGGUAUUGCUCAACAAUUGCAAAUGCUUUAUGAACAGACAAUCCUCGGAUCUGAAAACCUGACGAAAAAGUUUUAAAAGAUAUGAGUUUUACUACAUUUGAAGAGUUUCCAUAACCCGAAUCUACUUCAUCAAUAUGAGUUGUAAGCAUUUUGUCCUGUAAAUAUUUAAAAAAAAUGUCUAAAAUAUACAUUGAUUUGAUUUAUAUAAAAGAUUAAGACGGUUAGGCUUAAACAUACCUUGAACAUAUUUGUAAGUAUAUUAGAGAAGUUGGCAAUAUAUUUCAUAGAUUCCAAAUGAUUUUCUGUUCUUACAAUUGUAAAUCCAUCUAUGACCUCCGUGUUUGCCAAUGCUUGUUGUAAAUGAGAUAUUGGUAAUCCAUGAUAUUUUUUUUCAUUCUCAACUAGAUAGAUUUUGUUUUCAAGUCCACAUUGUUUUAAUCUAAACUAUACAAAUUAAGAUGAACUAACUUAAUUUAAAAUAUUAUUGUUUCAUAAAAAUGCAUUUACUUUCUGCUCAUGAAAACGGCCAUCCUGAAUGCUACCUGAUAGAUCAUCUAAUCGUUUUCGUUCUAGUAUAUAUGGUAACAUAAGUUCUUUUCCACUUCUGUCACAACAAAUCCAAGCAAAAUCUCCGACACUCAACCGUCUCAUUUCGAAAGUCACAUUUAAAGAUGACAAUUCAGAAAUUACUUUGUCCACGUUGGUUUUACUAUUAUAAAAAAGUACCAAUAAAUGAAACAUAUUGUUUCUAAAAUAUACACAAGGCACAUACCGUAAACUACUUGAUUCGCCCGUAUCAAUGAGCAACAUGACAGUAAAUUCAUUUGGCCACAAAACAAUCUUUUCUUUCUCUGCAAUGGUAGGAUUGUUUUUCUAUUUCAAAAAGAUUCAAUUAAAGCAUAAGUAAUGUAUAAUAUUUUUAUCUAUUAAAAAUCUAUCCAUCCAUCAAUGUAAUAAAAAAUAAAAAAUUCUAAAACAAAAAUUGAAUAUAGUACUUUAUUAUAUUUGUAUAAUAUUAAUAAUUCAACAGUGCUCUAAAAAGUUAGUGUUUACAUUAAUGGUGGGAUUUUGUAGUCCCUACCCAACACUUUUUUAUUUUAUACUUACAGGCAAAUCAUUGUGAGUCAGCGAUAUUAUUGAAUUCUGACUUUGAUUACUUGUUGAGGGUUGUAAGACAUUGACAAGUUUUGUAUUUUUAGAAAUGUCAGCCGUAAUACCUUCAUCUGAAAUUUUUCAUUUAAAUCUUUACCUGAACCUGAAGAUAUUUUAUUAUGUUGUUCAAGCUGCUUGUCUAAUCUGGCACAUAAUUUUGGACCAAAAAAUUUUAGAAUUAAACAUUCUUUUCCGCUUUUAAAUGGCAAUGGACAUUUUCGCAAUGAACUCAAUGCCUAAAAAAUCAUAAUAAUAUGUAAGUCAUUAAAAAUUGUCAAAAUAAUAUAGGUACAAUAUAUAUUGUGUAAUGGUAUGGCAAAUAAUAUGUCUGCAUAAUUUCUUUUAAUUUAAAAAACAAAUAGGUUGAAUAAUAUUCGUAAAUUGUAUUGCUAUAAUAUAAUAAUAGUUUAUUUUUACAAUUCAACAGUCCA